UAGGGAAUCUUCGGCAAUGGACGAAAGUCUGACCGAGCAACGCCGCGUGAGUGAAGAAGGUUUUCGGAUCGUAAAACUCUGUUGUUAGAGAAGAACAAGGACGUUAGUAACUGAACGUCCCCUGACGGUAUCUAACCAGAAAGCCACGGCUAACUACGUGCCAGCAGCCGCGGUAAUACGGAGGUGGCAAGCGUUGUCCGGAUUUAUUGGGCGUAAAGCGAGCGCAGGCGGUUUCUUAAGUCUGAUGUGAAAGCCCCCGGCUCAACCGGGGAGGGUCAUUGGAAACUGGGAGACUUGAGUACAGAAGAGGGGAGUGGAGUUCCAUGUGUAGCGGUGAGAUGCGUAGAUAUAUGGAGGAACACCAGUGGCGAAGGCGGCUCUCUGGUCUGUAACUGACGCUGAGGCUCGAAGGCGUGGUGAGCAAACAGG
rnacentral:rRNA from 1 species